ensembl:lncRNA
GUGUGAGUGAGUGUAGAUUGUCCAGGGAGCCGAUUGGUUCCUGCCUCAAAGCCAGAAGUUUAAAGGGCAGCUCCUGCCAGUUCCCGGGGGCUCUCCUCUGUCAGCAUGUCUGUUUGAUUGUGUGCUAGGUGUGUUUUUAAAUGAAACCUUGAAAAAUGUGUUGCCACUGAUGGUGCUUCGGGGGAUUGGAAGAGGGGAGUCUCAUUUUCAUGUUGCGCCAGGGUUUCCCCUUGGCACCUGGUCGCCUGUUUCUACUUCCUGAAUGGAGAAAUUGGCUAAACUUAAAGUGAAUAAAGCUUUUAACCAUGACCUCGUCUGCAAACACUUAUGCCAGGUAGAUUAUUAUCAUCAGCAGUGGUUGUUGUUUCUACUCCACUACCUGCUUAUCUGCCCGAAACAGCCAGAUUACUUUGCUGUACAUUAGCCGUAAGCUAAAUGUUAUCAAGCAGUGGCGACUUCUCUUCUUUUCAGUACAUUUACCCUGCAGCUCCAGUCGGCCGUCGACGUUACAAUCAGAGCGGACUCCGACGUGAUUCUCCAGAGGUCCUGGCUCAGCACCCGGUUCUAAAGCCGGCUCUGAGCAGCAGCCCGUCAGCUUGUUAUUUAAGCUUCAAAGUACUCUUAAGUUUCAAAUAGCAGUUGUCUCCAGCUCCUGUCACCGGCCCUCGCUCUGUCCUGCCCAUGUGCAGAAACCUCCAGCGCCUCUCCGUUCUGCUUCCUGCUCCACUGGCUCACCAGACUCCCCUCCACUCUGUCACCAGACAACCCUUCCUGCCCACCAGCCGAACCUCCUCGUCCUCUAUUCCCUCAAGAAUUCUGUCCUGAAAUACACUUCUUCAAACCUGAUUUCCAGCCUCUGAUCUCUGCAUUUUGGGUCUAGAGAAAAACUCCAACGUAACAUGGUUUGCAGAAACGUACAUUGCCGAUAUUUAUUCUGGUGAUUUGGGUUGGCCAAACAUGAUCUUCUCUCAACCCUCUUUUUGUUGAUAACAUACAGAAUACUGCAUUAUUGUAAAAGCUCCGCACAAAGCGUUUGAAGUCAGACUGUCAAACACCGUUGGAGGCAAUGAAAACAACACUUUCAGUUUGAGUUUUAUGACGCACAAGUCACUUUAAGUCAACAUCUUUCUGCCAUAAUUACAUUCCGUGUGAUGUUUGUGUAGGCGUGUGGUUUUUAGCUUAAUCAUUUAAAACAAAAACAAAAAGUGUCCAUCACAUCCAAUUGAUUGGCAGCUGGAAUAUCAAAGAGCAGCUCAACAGGCGGUUGUUGAAAACAUAUAACAUUUAUCAGCAGGUAACAGGUAGGAGGGGGAGGGGGGACAAAUAAAGCAGGAGGGCAAGGAAAGACGGGGAGAGAGACACUGACAAAUAUCACAAAGAAAAACCGCCAAAUGCAACAGACGAGACUACAAAGAAUCUUUUCAAGUCCAUUUUUUUUUUUUUUUCAAGAGAACAGGCACGUGUACAAUACAGACUCGAAUGCACCGACAGAUACGCAUGCAUAAAAAGACUCAAGACCCUCGAGCAGCCACAAAGUGUAGCCCUUCAAAGUCAGAACAAUAGUUGAUUGUCAAAAAUAAGAAGUCAUGAUUUUCAAUCUCAUCAUAACGCCACAUGUGAUGCGAUCAUAAACACAGUAUGUGCUACAGGCUGCGACCGUCGUUUUGGACUUGUAAACACACCGAGUGAAUCCACAGAUGUCAGCGGUUAAAGGCAACAAAAGUCAAAACUGUCCAUGUUCACAGGUACGUCAAUACAGUUCCUGAAAAGCGAACAAUAUCUUUUUUUCUUUAAAUUUCCAAAAAUGUCAAAAUACUCUUUACAUCUGUUUGCUUCUGUCUUCUCACGUUAUGGACAGAGUCUUCACAAAGUGGCUGUGACUGUACAAGCAAGCACAUAAAUUCCACCAUGACACUGAACAUGUCCAUGAAAAGGAUGCGUCCUUGAGACAUCCUCCACUUUCUUGAUUGUUGGCGUUGUAACCGUGCCAACUGAAGGGGUUGGAAAAACUCCUGUAAACGGCAGUACAUGAUGUAGCUUUGGCACACGUGGAGAAAAAUCACAUUCAGUAUGUUCAAAUUCACUGAACACUUGUCGGCAAGAACAAAGGUUCAUCAAGGAGACGGGUUUGAUUCUUCCACAGCUGCUUGAAGCGUUUAAAAAAACAAAAAAAAAAGAAACAUCAACCUUUUUUCUUCCCACAAGAUUUCCUCAGUUUAUUCUUAUUUCAAGGUAUGUUUCUCAAGAGUAUUCUUUGUGCUUUUUUUUCCCGGCUCUGCCUCUCUAUGCUCAGCUGUGGUCCUCUUGCUAUAUACAAUCAAGGUGACAGCAGGAAAAUGGAAAGGAAAUUGCAUAAAUCUCCCUCAGGAAAAAAAAUGUUUUAUUAAUCCUUUUUUAAAUUCUUUUUUUGAAGUUUCGCAUCUGUCCGAGCUUCUAAGGGGUGAUAAAUAAUUGUCUUCAGAAGCGGUCGCUGCAGAGGCUGAAUAUAAAUGAAGAUGUGUUGUUUUGUUUUGUUGCGUUUCACCUUCCGGCACCGCACAGCUCCGCCUCCUACAAAUACAUCUAUUUGCAAACAAUCUCCAUCAAAGUUAAUAGCUGUUAAUCGUUUUCACACAGCGAGUGAGAAGUGGAGGUGAGGAUGUCGACAUGAAACAUUUGCUUGCAACACAGGCAGCUAAGGUUCAUCACUCGUGUCAAGCUUUCAUUUUUUAUUCUUUUUCAUGUUUUCUUUGAGGGCUUUUCUGGACUUCCAACUCAAAUUCUUUGCACGUCCAGAUUGAUUUGUGAAAAGUCUGGACAGCAGAAAAAUGCAUGAAACGUGAUGUUGCUCAUAACACUGAUUAGAUCUCAGACACAUGAAAUUCUGUUUGAUGUGAACAGCCGGAGCGUCCAGACAAGGAUACAUUUCCAGAGGUCAGAGUCCUAAAGUGUCACAUGUAAUGCGACACACAACAACAAGACAGAGGAGUUCUGCAUCGCGACUUCAUUUCUCGUUUCCACAGUGAACCAUGCAGACAGGUUGGAGAUGGCUGGACACAGAAAUCCAAUCAGUUUAAUCACAAGUUCCUACGAAGGUUCGAGACACUUUCAGUUUGACAGGUCUCC